AGGACGAACGCUGGCGGCGUGCUUAACACAUGCAAGUCGAGCGAGGCCCUUCCCUUCGGGGAGGGUGUCCUAGCGGCGAACGGGUGAGUAACACGUGAGCAACCUGCCCCUGGCUCUGGGAUAGCCUCCGGAAACGGGGAUUAAUACCGGACAUGACCCUUGACCGCAUGGUUGGGGGUGGAAAGUUUUUCGGCCAGGGUGGGGCUCGCGGCCUAUCAGCUUGUUGGGGGGGUGACGGCCCACCAAGGCGACGACGGGUAG
rnacentral:rRNA from 1 species